GGACGCUUAGCUCAGUUGGCUAGAGCGUGUCUUUGACGUAGACAAGGUCAGAGGUUCAACUCCUCUAGCGUCCACCA
rnacentral:tRNA from 1 species